AAUUGAGGACAGGUGGUGCAUGGUUGUCGUCAGCUCGUGUCGUGAGAUGUUGGGUUAAGUCCCGCAACGAGCGCAACCCUUGUGUUUAGUUGCAAACAGGUCAAGGCUGUGGCACUCUAGACAGACUGCCGUGGACAACACGGAGGAAGGUGGGGAGUGACGUCAAAUCAUCAUGCCCGUUACUGAUCUGGGCUACACACGUGCUACAAUGGCCGGUACAACGGGCAGCGAAGGAGCGAUCCGGAGCGAAUCCUAAAAAGCCGGUCCCAGUUCGGAUUGCAGGCUGAAACUCGCCUACAUGAAGUUGGAGUUGCUAGUAAUCGCGAAUCAGAAUGUCGCGGUGAAUGCGUUCCCGGGUCUU
rnacentral:rRNA from 1 species